UACGAAGGGGGCUAGCGUUGUUCGGAAUCACUGGGCGUAAAGCGCACGUAGGCGGAUCUUUAAGUCAGGGGUGAAAUCCCGAGGCUCAACCUCGGAACUGCCUUUGAUACUGGGGAUCUCGAGUCCGGGAGAGGUGAGUGGAACUGCGAGUGUAGAGGUGAAAUUCGUAGAUAUUAGGAAGAACACCGGUGGCGAAGGCGGCCCACUGGCUCGAUACUGACGCUGAGGUGCGAAAGCGUGGGGAGCAAACAGG
rnacentral:rRNA from 1 species